rnacentral:rRNA from 1 species
CAAGCGGAGGAGCAUGUGGUUUAAUUCGAAGCCACGCGCAGUACCCUACCAGCGUUUGACAUCCUCAUCGCGGUUACCAGAGAUGGUUUCCUUCAGUUCGGCUGGAUGAGUGACAGGUGCUGCAUGGCUGUCGUCAGCUCGUGUCGUGAGAUGUUGGGUUAAGUCCCGCAUACGAGCGCAACCCUCGUCUUUAGUUGCCAUCAUUUAGUUGGGCACUCUAUAGAAACCGCCGGUGAUAAAGCCGGAGGAAGGUGGGGAUGACGUCAAGUCACUCAUGAGCCCUUACGCGACUGGGCGUACACACGUGACUACAAUGGUCGGUGACAGUGGGCAGCAAACCCGCGAAGGGUGAGCGUAAUCUCCUAAAAGCCGUCUCUAGUUCGUGAUCAGUUCUCAUGCAACUCGAGAGCGUGCAAGGCGGUAUCGCAUAGUAAUCGCGCUUACUAGCAC